rnacentral:rRNA from 1 species
AUGGGGUCCAACGAGGCGGACAAGCCGCUGCGGCGGAUCGGCGCGUCGUUCGAGCAGCUCGCGGCCGUCGCCAAGCAGCAGCAGCAGCAGCCCGCGAUGGCGGCGGGGGACUUCUCGCGCGCCUGCUCCAACGUCUCCGUCCUCUUCGGCUGCCUCGGCAUCGCCUUCAAGUUCGCCGAGAUGGACUACGUCGCCAAGGCAAGCGCCCGCUCCUCCGCCCCCCUCUCCUCCCCUCCCCGCUACCUGCUCUGCUCUAGCUCGCGUCUCGCGAUUCCUCCCCCGGUUGGAGCCCUCGGCUGCUUAGGGCGAGUCGGCUGUUCGGUUGAUGAUUUACUGGAGGCAUCCAAGACGAUUUCGACACUGCCCUCCAUGGUUGAGCUUGACAUUCAGAAGGGCACUGUCAGGCAGGCGGGGAGCCAUACGAGGAAUCUACUCAGGGUUAAGCGUGGGAUUGAUAUGGUGAAAGUUCUGUUUGAGCAGAUAUUAGUCACAGAAGGCAACUCCCUGAAGGACGCAGCGUCAAAGGCUUAUGCUCAGGUGUUUGCUCCUCACCAUGGCUGGGCCAUAAGGAAAGCAGUUGGUGCUGGAAUGUAUGCCCUCCCUUCUAAGUCACAGCUCUUGAAGAAACUGAAUGAAGAUGAAAAUUCGGCAAGGGCUCAAAUGCAGAGUUUCGUCAGGUCGUCUGGACCAGUAAUUCUCUACGUCGAAGACCUCUUCACCUCCAAGAAUUUAGGGCUAGACUGGUGA